rnacentral:rRNA from 1 species
GACGAACGCUGGCGGCGUGCCUAACACAUGCAAGUCGAGCGGAGUUCAUUAAACGCUUGCUUUUGAUUAACUUAGCGGCGGCCGGGUGAGUAACGCGUGGGCAACCUGCCUAUUACAGGGGGAUAACAAAGGGAAACUUGUGCUAAUACCGCAUAAUACAAUGAGAAACCAUUUUCUUAUUGUCCAAGGAGCAAUCCAGUAAUAGAUGGGCCCGCGUCCAAUUAGCUAGUUGGUGCUGUAGCGGACCACCAAGGCGACGGUUGGUAGCCGAACGGAGAGGUUGAUCGGCCACAUUGGGACUGAGACACGGCCCAGACUCCUACGGGAGGCAGCAGUAGGGAAUAUGGCACAAUGGGGGAAACCCUGAUGCAGCAACGCCGCGUGAAGGAUGAAGGUUUUCGGAUUGUAAACUUCUUUAGUCAGGGACGAAUAAAUGACGGUACCUGAAGAAUAAGCCACGGCUAACUACGUGCCAGCCGCCGCGGUAAAAC